GUGGUUGGGAAGAGGAAUCUCAGAAGCCGAGCCCCAUUCUGUAGUAACUCAAUUAACCAUGGGCGAUGGUGACUCGCCAAUGUGCCUCUCUGCCGUUUCAUUCAAGGGAAUAAGAUGCUGGCUGGACAAACUGUUACUUUGGGCUCUUACAAUUUCUAUCACACUUCAGAAUGCUGCAGUGGAUUGUACGAGGGUGGAAAAUAACGAAUUACCUUCUCCAAAUCUGAACUCAAGUAUGAACGUGGUCAGGAUGGGCCAAAAUGUAUCUCUGUCUUGUUCCACCAAGAACACAUCAGUAGACAUCACCUAUUCGCUCUUCUGGGGUACAAAAUAUCUAGAAAGCAAGAGAAGACGAGGGGGAGCUGUGGAUUUCCACCUGAGGAUCUCCAAUGCCAACGAGUCAGGCCCCUACAAAUGCAAAGUCAAUGUUUCCAACUUGAUGAAAUACAGUCAGGAUUUCAACUUCACAAUGGCCAGGGGAAGACACAAAACCCAAACAAAUGGCUCACAAGCUGUGCCAGCUGUUGUAAAGGACACAAGCACAGUGUGGAGAAAGGCAAGGCAUGAAGAAGGGACCACCUGGGUAAGAAGAUGAGAGCUGCCCUUCAUGCCGGCUGUCACUGUUGCUCCCAGGGCUGUUACUGGGGAUACUGGUAAUAGUCCUAGUUCUGGCUUAUUUGAUUCAUCUAAAAUACAAAAAAGGUUGCCUGGAGAGCCAGCCUCACAUGGACACAAUUUAUACACACAGCCCCAUGACCCCAACCCCACGACUGGAUUAGAAGUCUGUAGCUACCACCUGAAAAUCAUCGAUAAUUUUUGUACUCUUAAAGGCUCCUGGAAGGUCUAGCUGGCUGGUUUCGAACUCACAAUGAUGCUCCAUCCAGCCUCAGCUUCAGAAUGCUGAGCAGACGUCUGCCCCUCUGCUCCCAGCUUAUACGGCUUUUGAAUCUGGGUCUUUUGUAGCUGGGGAUGGCGUCAGACUCGCCACGCACUUGAGAAUGGCCUUGACUUCUGGUCCUCCCGCCUUCACAUCCCCAGGGCGGGGAUCACACGCACAGAUUCCGACAUCCAAUGUGUGCGUCAGUGGGCAUACAUGCUAGAGUUUUCUGCAGGAAAGAAGACUCAGAGAGAGGACCAGUCCAAGGGUUCUGGAGAUGCGCCUGCACAGGACGAGCUGUAUGUCAACGCCUGCAAGACUCAGACAGAGCAACCCCAGGAGAUACACUAUGCCACUCCAGUCUUCAAGGAGAUGGCACCCAUGGAAGAAGAAGGUGGUACGGAUGGAAAAGCUGAUUACAUCUACUCUGAACUCACCCACUGAAGUGUGAAGAAACUGACUGUAUCCCAGUGUAAAGACUUUCCACUGGAUUAGCCCAUUUUCCAGCGUAGUCUCAGUGACCAGAACUGAGAAGAGGACACUCAUCUCAUCGUACCUGAGAGAACGGUUCAAUGAAACGCAUGAGCGCCUGGGCAGACAUCAGCUCCUCAUCUCAUGGACACCCCUGAGCCUGAGCUGCUCUCAGCUCAGUCAGGUGGUCCUUUACGAAGGGCCGAAUCAUGCCCUACCCCCACUCCCACUUCUAAAGCAUACUCAAAGGGAAGGUUUGAGCUUACUGUGUUGGCACCUAAAGGGGUACUAUAGAUGGCACCUGAAGGGGUACUAUAAAUGAAUUCCUCAAUGACCUCAGUGUUUUGAAUUCAACUUUAAUGAUAGCAAACUAUUUGCAGACAAAACUCUCUUAGAAUAAACCAUAUU